UACGAAGGGGGCUAGCGUUGCUCGGAAUCACUGGGCGUAAAGGGUGCGUAGGCGGGUCUUUAAGUCAGGGGUGAAAUCCUGGAGCUCAACUCCAGAACUGCCUUUGAUACUGAAGAUCUUGAGUCCGGGAGAGGUGAGUGGAACUGUGAGUGUAGAGGUGAAAUUCGUAGAUAUUCGCAAGAACACCAGUGGCGAAGGCGGCUCACUGGCCCGGUACUGACGCUGAGGCACGAAAGCGUGGGGAGCAAACAGG
rnacentral:rRNA from 1 species